UCUCAUGGAUGAACAAAGAAAGUGGUUCCUUGAGAUGGAAUCUACCCCUGGUGAAGAUGCUAUGAA
rnacentral:pre_miRNA from 1 species